CAGCUGUGAGCACAGAAGGCAGAACUCGGGACAAUCUUCAUCAUGACCUGGUCCCCUCUCCUCCUCACCCUUCUCAUUCACUGCACAGGUGC
rnacentral:pre_miRNA from 1 species